rnacentral:tRNA from 1 species
GUUAGAGUGGCAGAGCCCGGCGAAUGCUAAAGACCUAAGCUCUUUCAACAGGGGUUCAAGUCCCCUCUUUAACU